rnacentral:rRNA from 1 species
GACGAACGCUGGCGGCGUGCUUAACACAUGCAAGUCGAACGGAAAGGCCCUGCUUUUGUGGGGUGCUCGAGUGGCGAACGGGUGAGUAACACGUGAGUAACCUGCCCUUGACUUUGGGAUAACUUCAGGAAACUGGGGCUAAUACCGGAUAGGAGCUCCUGCUGCAUGGUGGGGGUUGGAAAGUUUCGGCGGUUGUGGAUGGACUCGCGGCUUAUCAGCUUGUUGGUGGGGUAGUGGCUUACCAAGGCUUUGACGGGUAGCCGGCCUGAGAGGGUGACCGGCCACAUUGGGACUGAGAUACGGCCCAGACUCCUACGGGAGGCAGCAGUGGGGAAUAUUGCACAAUGAGCGGAAGCCUGAUGCAGCAACGCCGCGUGCGGGAUGACGGCCUUCGGGUUAUAAACCGCUUUCGCCUGUGACGAAGCGUGAGUGACGGUAAUGGGUAAAGAAGCACCGGCUAACUACGUG